rnacentral:rRNA from 1 species
AUUGAACGCUGGCGGCAUGCUUUACACAUGCAAGUCGAACGGUAACAGGCCUUCGGGUGCUGACGAGUGGCGAACGGGUGAGUAAUGCAUCGAAACGUACCCAGAGGUGGGGGAUAACGCAGCGAAAGCUGUGCUAAUACCGCAUGUGAUCUGAGGAUGAAAGCGGGGGACCGAGCAGCAAUGUUUGGCCUCGCGCCUUUGGAGCGGCCGAUGUCGGAUUAGCUAGUUGGUGGGGUAAAGGCCUACCAAGGCGACGAUCCGUAGCUGGUCUGAGAGGACGACCAGCCACACUGGGACUGAGACACGGCCCAGACUCCUACGGGAGGCAGCAGUGGGGAAUUUUGGACAAUGGGCGCAAGCCUGAUCCAGCAAUGCCGCGUGCGGGAAGAAGGCCUUCGGGUUGUAAACCGCUUUUGGCAGGAACGAAACGGUGUCCGCUAAUACCGGGCGCUAAUGACGGUACCUGCAGAAUAAGCACCGGCUAACUACGUG